GGCAGCUGCACCAAAGUGCAAGUGCCUGAUAGUGUCUGAUCUUGAAAGCUAAGCGUGGCCAUGCCUGGUUAAUACUUGGAUGGGAGACCAACUUGGAAGACCAGCGGCCGCUAUCC
rnacentral:rRNA from 12 species